rnacentral:lncRNA from 10 species
UAGCUGAGAUUACAGGCGCACACCACCACACCCAGCUAAUUUUUGUAUUUUUAGUAGAGACGGGGUUUCACCAUGUUGGUUAGGCUGGUCUCGAACUCCUGACCUCGUGAUCUGCCCGCCUCAGCCUCCCAAAGUGCUGGGAUUACAGGCAUGAGCCAUCAUGCCCGGCAGGAGUUCCUUACUUUUAUGGCUAAUAUUUCAUUGUAUAAACACACAUAUAUAUACAUAUCACUUUUUUUUGAGAUGGGAGUCUCAAUUUAUAAUGACUCAAAUGAUAAAUAUUGUGCAGAAUAUUCCUGCAACAUUAAAAAAUGGCCCCCAAACACAGGAUGUAGGUAUGACUUAAGAGGUCAGGUUUCUUGGAGGAGGCAAAUCUUAUAGAAAUGAUAGGAGUUCGCUGGGUAAAGAGUGGAACUUUAGAGGGAGCAGGUAAGGGAGAGCAGAAACCAAGUUUUCAGGAACAGUCAUGAAGGUCUGAGUGGCAUAUGCACCUUUUCUACACAUCUGUGUUCUAGAGACUAAAACAGAAACAGCUGGCUAGGGAGGCAGUAGCCUGACUGCAGAGGGCCUUGCUUAUUAUGCUGGGCCAAGAACUCAGUAUUUGACUCCAGGCAAUCAGGAACUACUGAAAGAUGUUAAGGAGUGGAGGGAUGGUGACAAGCAGAAAUGUAUGUGAGGAUGACCACCUUGUAGGCAUUUGAAAGAUGGAUUUGAAUGGGCUGAGACUGGGAGCAGGAGACCAGGAAGCUCUUUUGUCAAUGAUGCAGAUAAGAGAUGAUGGGGGUCGGAAGAAAGAAAGAGACAGGUAAGAAAUAUUUAGGAGGUAAAAUUGGCAAGGCUGGGUGAUUAUGUGUGGGAAGAGAAAAGGAGGGAAGAGUCACAGUUAACACCAGAUAAGAGCUUAGGUGAUUGACUAGGUCACUGGGCUGCAGGCAGGGCCAGGCUUGGGGUAUGGAGGCAGUGGGGUCAUGAGUCACAACCAAGCAGUGGUGUGUUCCACCCUCCGUGGGAUACACCGGUGGAGAUGGCCAGCUGGGAGCUGAUUCUCAAGUUCAGGAGAAAAGUCUUGAUCCCAAUUUGGUAGCCAUCAGUAGAUUGGUAGGUAUUUUAAACAAGGGGAUAUGAGGACCAAGGGAGAACAUACAGAUUGGCAAGAAAAGGAAACCCAAGUCCAUGCCUUAGGGGCCACCACAUUUAACGGCCAGGUAAUAACAGCAGCGACUAACGUGUAGUAAGUGCUUACUGUAUUGUACAUGGACUCGCUUUAAUCCUCAGCAACACCAGGGAUUAGCACCAUUAUUAUCCUCAAUUUCACUGAUGAGGAAGCAGGCCCAGAAAGGCUGAGUUCCCACUGCCACAUGGCCAGUAGAGGAGUCCGAGAGUCUGAUUCCAGAACCCAAGCCCUUAGCUGCUGUGCUCUUCUGCCUGGGAAGGAAACGAAGAAGAGAGAGAAUAUGGAGAACUAGGAGAGCACCUCAGAAGCUGAGGGAAGUGCUGUUUCAAGGAAGGAGCCAUCCAUGAUAUCAGGAGCUGAGCAGCCCACUGAGAAGGCUGGGAAAACUGCGCUGUAGACUUGGCAGGGAGAGGCCUCCUUGGAGAAGUUGAGGGCACUGGAGCAGCUCAAGGUGAGAAUGGGGAGAUGAGGAAAUGGAGACAGCAAGUGUGGGCUAUUGUGAAAGGUCUGAUGAGAAAGGGGGCAACAGGAGGCAGCUGUUACAGUGGAACGCGCGUUUGUUUUUAACCGGGAAAUCGAGCAUGCUUACGGUGCGGGAAAAAGCCAAGGUGAACUCAGUGAUACAGGAGGGUGGGGAGAAACUGCUGGAACAAAGCUCUAAGUAAGAGUCUUUCAUUUACCACUGUUCACCACCGCCCCUCGAGACACUCCCAUGCAUUUGCUGCCAUAUUUCCAUAUUCCCCAACUCUUCUUACUUUUAUUGACAAGGUGAAUCCUAAAUCUCCUUUGGGGCUGUCAGUUCUGUCUAUCCUUGCAAUGAUUUACCCUCAGCUAUCUUUUCAUGCAUAAUUCUCCAGGCAAUCUUAUUCCCCUAUGUGCUGAAAAACCCCAAAAUCAGUACGCCAGCCUAGACUCACCCACCCAGAUCCCUCCAUCCAACUGAUUCCAACAUGUCCUUUCAUGUGUGUCUUCCCUCGUUCUCAGCAUGUCGAUUCCUUUGGGGUCACUCAGUUAUGAAUACCAUCUCAUCCAGUGCCCUCUCUGCCUCCAACACAUCCAUUCUUCUUGUUCUCUGGAUUUUGACUUUGGUGCCAUCUCCACCAGAAUCUUUCCAUAACCCUUCGUGACUCCCACAGCGCUGUUCUUCCCCUGCUGUGGUUCUUACUAUAUCAGAGUUGCCACUGACAUGUCUGUCUGCCUUUACUGAAUGUAAACUACUAGAGGGCAGGGUUUAUGUCUUAUUUGCAAUCACAUCCUUUUUUUUUUUUUUAGUAAGAAAUGAGAUUGGAAAACUUGGAAGCACAUGUAAGGGAUUGACACCUCAAAAAGGAGGAGAGCACAUUGUUCUCUGGGACUGGACUGAGGGAGAUGAGAAUAGACGCUGAUCUAUAUAUAUUUAUAGGUUGCACGGGAAGUUGAGGGGACUUACGGACACAAUUUGCAUAGUAGAGUAGGAGGUAAAAUGGUUUCCUGAGAAUGAAGGAGAGGGGCUUGGGUUUGGGGCUUGAGUUGAGUCAUGAAGAUACAGGCAGGCUAUGGAGGGGCCAGGGAGGGAGAAGGACCCAGAGGAGAACCAUUCCCCUCGAGGGCAGGAGCACGGUGCCGCCUCCUGCAAAGUAGCGUCUUUCCCACUACUCAGAGCGUCCCAGAUUUUGAGUGUGUUUCCUAUUCUAUGUAGAGAUGGAUUUCUUCAGGAUGGUCUAGGUCUACCAACUGGUAGUUUUACCUGUGAGAAGUUAUUCUUUUUAUCUAUGAUAAAAAUAGUGGGAUCUAAGGACAGAAUCCUAGUCUGGGAGCUAAAAGAUAGGCU